ACACUCCUGCGGGAGGCAGCAGUGGGGAAUUUUGGACAAUGGGCGAAAGCCUAAUCCAGCAAUGCCGCGUGAGUGAAGAAGGCCUUCGGGUUGUAAAGCUCUUUUGUCAGGGAAGAAACGGUGAAAGCUAAUAUCUUUUGCUAAUGACGGUACCUGAAGAAUAAGCACCGGCUAACUACGUGCCAGCAGCCGCGGUAAUACGUAGGGUGCAAGCGUUAAUCGGAAUUACUGGGCGUAAAGCGUGCGCAGGCGGUUUUGUAAGUCUGAUGUGAAAUCCCCGGGCUCAACCUGGGAAUUGCAUUGGAGACUGCAAGGCUAGAAUCUGGCAGAGGGGGGUAGAAUUCCACGUGUAGCAGUGAAAUGCGUAGAUAUGUGGAGGAACACCGAUGGCGAAGGCAGCCCCCUGGGUCAAGAUUGACGCUCAUGCACGAAAGCGUGGGGAGCAAACAGGAUUAGAAACCCUAGUAGUCCCAUGAU
rnacentral:rRNA from 1 species